AGUGUCAUAUGUUCUAGACUUGUACUAGUGUCGAUUUGUAAAAUAACUGCCUAUCGUAUUGAUUUUUGCUGUCAAAUUGAAUUGUACUAAAAACACCAUUUUAGAAACAAGUAUAGUAUAGAGGCUAUACUUAUCAAAUCCAUAUGGCUUAGGAUAAGGGUUGGACAUUAGUUAGGAUUAUUAAAAUCAUAGAGAUAUAAACUCAAUUCUGGUACCAUCACAGAGAAGUGAAGCCCCUAAGUAUAAAGGAAAGCCCUCUAUUAUUACCACUUAACCAUGAUCGCAGGUGCACCGGUAAAGCCAAGCAAGCUCAUGUCAGAGCAAAGAAGAAGCAAUAGGAAAAAAACUUUAACUACGAGUACUGCCAUAGUGGGUUUUGGGGAGAGCGCUCGGGCUUCACCGACUGAGUUAAUGGAAAGCUUCUGCUGUGAUUCUCUCCUGCGGCAUGCCAUAAGGAUUUAUUGGUUGACUUUUCCUUAACUUGUCGUCUUUCAAUUGUACGUCUCAGAACAUAUAAAGCUUAAGGUGUACAGGAAAUUUAGUCUAGAGCAGGAGUAGGGGCAACUAAAAAAGAUAUUCCAGUACACAUAAUGGCUACUCGUCACGGUCCAGAAUUAUGUACUGUUCUUCCAGCUCUUUACCACUUGACUGGUGCUGAUUAUACAAGUAAAGUUGGAACCAAGUGUAGUGCUCUUUGUGCUAAUCCAAUAAAAUUUCUUAGUAACUUGGCUAAAGGGUACAUCUGAAAUUCAAGUCGAUGGAUUCAGUGCAGCGUGCGGAAGAGUAUCUUGUUCAGGUACUUCGCCAAGGUAACUCAUCAAAAACAUUUGAUGAUUUAAGAUAUUGGCUGUAUCACCAUGGCAAAACUUUUUCUGUCACACUAUUGUCACCUACGAGUGCAUCAAUCAGACUACAUAUUUUACGAGCAUUUUUUGUUGUUUAUACCCAAAACAAUUGCUUGAAAGAAGAAACAUUGCCUUUGGGUCCUCUGAUGUAUAGAUACAAGCUAGAAAAUGACAUCCUUAUUCCAAAAUCUGCUGAUAAUAUAUUUCCUUCAGCCGAAGAAUUAGUCCCGAAUUGCAAUUGUGCUAAAUGUGCACGUAAAAAUAAUUGUUGUUGCCGUGUAGCGGAAUUGCCUUGCUGUUCUUUUUGUCGUUGUCGCAUAACAACUCAAUGUAAAAAUCCUUAUGACAUGUAAAUAGCGAUUUGAAAUAUAAUGUUUUCAAAAUGA